rnacentral:lncRNA from 10 species
CUGGAACCCUUGGGACAAGAGAAUCAGAUUUCCACAACUCUCACAAUGUAUUGACCUCUAUAAUGUUUUAAUAAAAAGAGACACUGGACUUGGCCAGUUAGAAAGUUUCCUGGUUUAGUUUCAUAGUAUGAUGACAGCAGCAUGGAAGGAACCCCAAAGCUACCAGGAACCAUUUUGCACAGCUCUGGAAAGAAGUCCAGCAGAGUGAAUGACAUGGUACGAAGACAGAAAACAGGGGGCAACCUAGUCUGGAUGGCUGCAAUUGUUCCUGAGAUUCUGAAUCUACCCGGCAAGGAUUCACCCAAUCAAAGGAGCCAUUGAUCAGAAUCUUCAGCAAUUAUAAUUUGAGAAAUCAUAUUCGAAUUAUUUUUUAAUGGAAGAAAGAAUAUUUGAGAGUGAAAAUCUAGGCUUGAAUACGACUUUUUUUUUAAGGUACACAGUUCAUCUCCCACCUACAUUUCUAUUCUUGUUUUCAGAACAAUAGCUGGAACAUUUUGCUAAGUGUGUGGAAGGGAAGAGUGACAGCAGGAAAGGAGGGGAGCUUCAUUCUAUCAGUAUUAUCAGGAAAUUGAUUUAAUAUGCUUCCAAGUCUCUUUAAAUAGAGCUUCAAGUUUGAAAGGGACUGAAGAUAUGGCUUAGAGGAAUCCAAAACAGAUGCCAAGAAAGAAGUGCCCAUGUCCCACGCCCACCAAGACCCCUCUCAUCAGGAAGGGAUACCUAGCACAUCACAUCAGAAGACAUGGCAUCUAAUGACAAGCGCUUUGGGUAUCUACCCCUCAGCACCACGUUUCAGAAGUAGUCAAGAGGUCAUUUUUCCAAAGUAUUAGGGCAAGCUCAUUUUUUGUUUUCCCUGUUCCCAAGAAGUUUAAUGCUAAUCAAAGCAGAAUGCCUAAUCAGUCCAAGAUGUUCUGUCAACUUGAAUUAUCUAUUUGUCUUCUUAUUUACUGUAUCUGUCUGUCUACAGUUCUUCAUAUCUUUAUAAAGAUCGGUUAUUGGGGCCUGUGUUUCCUUCUGACUAGAAUCGCUACCAGAUGAUCCUUCCUGGUGAUAUGUUGAUGAUUUGCUAAUUUAUGGCUUUUAAAAUCUAGGAAUCCAAAGACAUUGCUGAGGGGUUCAGGCUGGGGAAGUCACGUGGCUCAUGCAAUGAGGGCUGAAUGGCUACUUGAUGAGGGAUCUAAGUCUGUGUAGGAUGCAAAGCUUCAGUCACAUUUCGACCAGAGCCAUGUCUGCAAUAGAGAAAUCGUAAAUGACAUUUUAUAGGAAACACCCCUCAUGAGAGCAGUCCGCCCCUUGCAGGCGAGGAAAAGUGAGAAUAGCUGUUGCCCAAGACACAAGUAAACAUGGAAAGAAAAGGCCUGUGGAUCGGCCCAAGUCAGUAUAACAUGAAAUCAUCUCAAAUCCGAUUCCCAAGUGCUAGAGGCCAUGCCUUCCCAGAAAGAGUCGAGAGGGAAAUGGUGUUGUAGCAAGACUCUCUCAGAACCAAGAGAAGAGGUUUCAAUAAGCCCUGAUAUUGGACUUCCCAACCACUUAGGUGGCCAAAUAGUACGAUGUGUAGCUCAGAAAAGCUGUGGUAUAGUUGGAGAUUUUUAUGGAUGUGUAGAAAUGCAUCUGUCCCCAGUGCCUGGUAGCAAGCCCUCAGUAAACACAUGUGGAAUGGAUGGACAUGAAGGCAUGACUCGUGUUAAUUCCUUUAAGGUAGGGUAGGCUAUGGGGCCAUAGAUUAAAUGAGUCUUUGUAAAUAAAUGAUCCAUGCUCUGGCACACUAGACAAUUUAAAAUUCCAAAUCCUUUAGAAAUCAGUCUAGAACCCUGGUGGACAAGACAUGAGUGUGGUGGAGGAAAUGGAGUGGAAUUCCACGUUGAUACAAGACAGCCAGGCAGGAGGGAAUAGUGUGCGCUCUCAGGAAGGAACAAAGGUUCUGAGUGAGAAGGAGAGUCCAAAUUCUGAUAUAAGGAAAGACACAGAGUUUAAAAAUAACCCAAUAAUCAGGAAGCAGGGAAGAUACGCAGGAUGCCAUCUCCCGAUAAGUCAAGCAAGCACUGCUCAGGCAGGUUGGGGUCUGAGCGAGCAAUCAGUUUUUAAGACUUCCUCUAGUGGAGGUAGAACUGAAGACCUAUGUUUGCAAGUGGGGCUUGCAUAACCUGGAUUUUAAAAGCAAGAGUGUUAGCUCCCCCAGCUUAGUGGGUAAUGCAAGCUGGGUCAAGGUCAUUGAACAAGCGUUAGUUAGCAUCUCCUCCUCUGAGGUGUCGCUUCCUUGGACUACUUUAUCCAGUGUAACUAAUCCCUGUUUUUCUCAGUUGCAGAAUCUUAGUCUUUUCUGGUUUUGCAGCACACAUUAAAAAUGUGUAAUUGGCAUUUGCUUUAGUUGUACCCUUGCUCAGUGCUUGCAACCUCCUUGAGACUGUAAACUCCAGGAGGACAGGUUCCGAGGGUAGUUUGUUCGCCAAUGAACCCUGAGCACCCAACAAAACCCAGCAUCAUGCCUGAUGCAUAACACAGAGAAUGCCUGCCUGCCGAGUGAGUGAAUGAACCGAUGGAGAGGGGCCACAGGAAUGGACAGUGAGGCAGGUCACUAACUGUGCUGGGCUGUUUUUAGUUCUUGAAUUUUGUUCUCAACUAUUGAAUACUCAAUUAUUUCUUCUAAAGUAUGGAAUCCUCUUUAAAAUAUGAGCAUUUACAAUAAAGAAGAUAAUUAAGUACUCUAGUUUCAUAUUUAAAUAGAAAAGCAUGACAAACUGUCCCCAUCUCUCUGAAUGUAAGGCUCUUUCCAAUGUGGAGACCACAUCCGAGGUUGAAGGCAGACAGCCCUAACUCCCUCCAGCGGGAUACAGGCUCCUGAGGGUGAAUAUUCCAAGUCAAAGCUAUGAAACAAACACACAGAAUGCACCCUGCAGAACUGGUCACGUGGGGCUCUACUGUGCCUUUCACUGAUAAGGAAGAAACCACCUCCAGAUACUGCUCUGUGCUGUGCGGCAGACUAACUAAGGAGUGAAAGGGAACAGGUGGUUCCAUCUGCAAGGGUAUAGAAGGCUCUGCAGGUGAGAUCUGCCCAGCAGGGAAGUCCAAGUUUAGCAGAUCACUACAAUUCUCCAUGGAACUACCUUUAAAGGAUGGAGCCAGGAAGGGGAAGAAAAUGUUGAAAUCCACAAAAAAGGCACAAUUCUCACUUUAGGUGUGGUUCAUCUGUCUGUCCUUGAGAGCCUUUCAUUGCUAGAAGUGUUCAAGAGGGAAUUAGAAUUCUAGUCUAACCAAAUGGGAAAAAUAAAGGAAGGAAUGGUUUUGUC